rnacentral:ncRNA from 1 species
CUGAAAAACCACUACCCUGUUUGGAAUUAUGCUUACCUAUCACAAGGAAUAGGACUAGAUAGAAAGUUUGGCUGGGGCGGCACACCUUCGAAAGAGCAGCGAAGGUGUCCUAAGUUGAGCUCAGUGAGGACAGAAAUCUCACGUUGAGGAUAAGGCCAAAAGCUCAAUUUACUGUGCCUUUUUGUACUAGGAUCAGUUACGAAAGUAAGGCCUAACGAUCCCUAAAUAGCCUCAGGUGCGUGAGGAUUGGGGUGACAGACAAGUUACCUCCGGGACAACUGGCUUGUGGCUGCUAAGAGAUCAAAUCAACGCAGCUUUUUGAUUCUUCGAUGUCGGCUCUUCCUAUCCUAGUGAUGUACAAGUUGCUAAGGGUCGGAUUGUUCACCCGUAUUAGGGAUCGUGAGCUGGGUUUAGACCGUCGUGAGCCAGGUUUGUUUUAUCCUACUGGAUAUAGCAUCAUGAUAGUAGAUUGAUUUAGUACGAGAGGAACUGUUGAUUAUGGCCUCUGGUUAGCGAUUAUCGGAAACGGUAUGUCGCGCAGCUACGCCGUCUGGGAUAAUGGCUGAAAGCCUCUUAAGCCAGAAGCCCAUCUAGAAAGUGAUGCACGUGAUGUUGGACCGAUACGAAUAAUCAUACUCAAAAGGUCCGCUUCAUAGGUAACCCAAUGUAGAAGACAUUGUGUGAACGAAGGUACUGUAAGCAGUGGAGUGGCAUUACGUCCACGACCUGUUGAGGUUCAGCUUCGCUUCUAGGUUUCC